AACGUAGGUGGCGAGCGUUAUCCGGAAUCACUGGGCUUAAAGCGUGUGUAGGCGGAUUGGUAAGUACCUUGUGAAAUCCCACAGCUUAACUGUGGAACUGCUCGGUAUACUGCUGAUCUUGAGCCACUCAGGGGCUACCGGAACAAAUGGUGGAGCGGUGAAAUGCGUAGAUAUCAUUUGGAACGCCAAUGGUGAAAACAGGUAGCUGGGGGUGUGCUGACGCUGAGACACGAAAGCCAGGGGAGCAAACGGG
rnacentral:rRNA from 1 species